CUGCACUGAACGGUUUUACCAGCCAGGCUCCUGGCUAAAUUCCAGCUCUUUGCUGGAUUUAGUCAAACCUGGCUGUAAACAACUAGAG
rnacentral:pre_miRNA from 1 species